AAAAAAUUAGUUUAUUAAAACAACUAAUUGCAAGUUAGUAAAUACCACUGGUAUUUUUUC
rnacentral:tRNA from 1 species